CCCACGCUCUCCGUUGUUGCCGCGCGCAUAUGCACGAUCCACGUAAAGAUCGCGCCUUCCACCAAAACAAAUCGCAUCUACCACCGAGUCUAAUUUGUCUUGGAAAUGCGAUGCAUCGAGACUCUCUUGCUCAACCGCCGUGCCUUUAAUGCGUAUUCUUUGAGCAACUGUGUGCACAAACGUGUCUUGUAUGAACUUUGUCGGACGCGUGUUCCGUGUAAAAUAAAAUUGACUACGCUGGUAUCGCUAGAUACUUACAGACUAAUUCACACUGGCAAAAUUUCAACGGGAAAAGUGUACGACCGCAUCAAAAGGCAUGAAACUUCGUCUUCGUCUUGAUUUCAACCAUGGCGGAGUCGAGCAACGUGUCUUCGACUUUUUCGCAACAACGUGCAUGCUGGUAGUUCGUGACGGAGUCGCUCGAAUAGACCUGGGAGAUUACACGAACGAAGCGAGGCGCUAGGAUGACGAGCAAGAAGUCUCUCUCUCCGGUGGGAAUGACAGCGCGAGCAGAGCAAGAAAUCGAAAUUGCAUUUUUCGUCUCGUCUUCGUGGUAGCACCUGCGAGAGCAGCUUGCCACGUUCGUUACGCCGGUGAACAAAUUCCCUGUAAUAGCAAACGGGCAGCUGCUCCGGCAGCAGCUCCAGUGAACAGGUGGCGCGAUAAAUCGAGGCCAAAAUUUUAUUCACGACCGUUACACGAGCCGGCCCCUUCCUAACUUAACGAAUAAACGAACAACGAGAGGAUGUGUCGCGGUAAAUUAAUCUGUCCCGGAUCGUGGACGAACUCAUGAAUCUAAACAGGGUGGUCGUGUCAUCGCCAAUAAAUAGUUUGAGAGAAAUAAUAGAGUGGAGGUUCAUAUUAAUUAACUCUCGGGCGGGAUCGUUGGUACAUCGAAGAAGGAUAGAUGUGUGCUCGAUGCAAAUAACGCAACAUCCAUUAUUUAUCCCUGUACAGUGUCUAGUACCAGCGUAACUUCAAGUUUGAAAUAUUUGUAAUUUAGAGAAUAAAGCUGAACGAGUGAAACAAA